UACGUAGGGGGGCAAGCGUUGUCCGGAAUUAUUGGGCGUAAAGAGCGCGUAGGCGGUCCGGUAAGUCGGUUGUGAAAGUCGGGGGCUCAACCCUCGGAUGCCGAUCGAUACUGUCGGGCUAGAGUCCGGAAGAGGCGAGUGGAAUUCCCAGUGUAGCGGUGAAAUGCGUAGAUAUUGGGAGGAACACCGGUGGCGAAGGCGGCUACCUGGACCGGUACUGACGCUGAGGCGCGAAAGCUAGGGUAGCAAACAGG
rnacentral:rRNA from 1 species